GUAAACGAUGUCGACUUGGAGGUUGUGCCCUUGAGGCGUGGCUUCCGGAGCUAACGCGUUAAGUCGACCGCCUGGGGAGUACGGCCGCAAGGUUAAAACUCAAAUGAAUUGACGGGGGCCCGCACAAGCGGUGGAGCAUGUGGUUUAAUUCGAUGCAACGCGAAGAACCUUACCUGGUCUUGACAUCCACAGAACUUUCCAGAGAUGGAUUGGUGCCUUCGGGAACUGUGAGACAGGUGCUGCAUGGCUGUCGUCAGCUCGUGUUGUGAAAUGUUGGGUUAAGUCCCGCAACGAGCGCAACCCUUAUCCUUUGUUGCCAGCGGUCCGGCCGGGAACUCAAAGGAGACUGCCAGUGAUAAACUGGAGGAAGGUGGGGAUGACGUCAAGUCAUCAUGGCCCUUACGACCAGGGCUACACACGUGCUACAAUGGCGCAUACAAAGAGAAGCGACCUCGCGAGAGCAAGCGGACCUCAUAAAGUGCGUCGUAGUCCGGAUUGGAGUCUGCAACUCGACUCCAUGAAGUCGGAAUCGCUAGUAAUCGUGGAUCAGAAUGCCACGGUGAAUACGUUCCCGGGCCUUGUACACACCGCCCGUCACACCAUGGGAGUGGGUUGCAAAAGAAGUAGGUAGCUUAACCUUCGGGAGGGCGCUUACCACUUUGUGAUUCAUGACUGGGGUGAAGUCGUAACAAGGUAACCGUAGGGGAACCUGCGGUUGGAUCACCUCCUUACCUUAAAGAAGC
rnacentral:rRNA from 1 species